UACCGAGUUUACAACUCCCAAACCCAAUGUGAACGUUACCAAACUGUUGCCUCGGCGGGAUCUCUGCCCCGGGUGCGUCGCAGCCCCGGACCAAGGCGCCCGCCGGAGGACCAACCAAAACUCUUAUUGUAUACCCCCUCGCGGGUUUUUUUAUAAUCUGAGCCUUCUCGGCGCCUCUCGUAGGCGUUUCGAAAAUGAAUCAAAACUUUCAACAACGGAUCUCUUGGUUCUGGCAUCGAUGAAGAACGCAGCGAAAUGCGAUAAGUAAUGUGAAUUGCAGAAUUCAGUGAAUCAUCGAAUCUUUGAACGCACAUUGCGCCCGCCAGUAUUCUGGCGGGCAUGCCUGUCCGAGCGUCAUUUCAACCCUCGAACCCCUCCGGGGGGUCGGCGUUGGGGAUCGGCCCUCCCUUAGCGGGUGGCCGUCUCCGAAAUACAGUGGCGGUCUCGCCGCAGCCUCUCCUGCGCAGUAGUUUGCACACUCGCAUCGGGAGCGCGGCGCGUCCACAGCCGUUAAACACACCCAACUUCUGAAAUGUUGACCUCGGAUCAGGUAGGAAUACCCGC
rnacentral:rRNA from 1 species